GGACGGGGCCCGCACAAGCGGUGGAGCAUGUGGUUUAAUUCGACGCAGCGCGAAGAACCUUACCAGGGCUUGACAUCCCCUGACCGCGUAUGAAAGUACGUUUUCACCCUCGGGUGACAGGGAGACAGGUGGUGCAUGGUUGUCGUCAGCUCGUGUCGUGAGAUGUUGGGUUAAGUCCCGCAACGAGCGCAACCCCUACGUUUAGUUGCUAACGCGUGAAGGCGAGCACUCUAGACGAACUGCCGUUGGCAAAACGGAGGAAGGCGGGAUGACGUCAAAUCAUCAUGCCCCUUAUGUUCUGGGCUACACACGUGCUACAAUGGCCGGUACAGACGGACGCAAAGCCGCGAGGUGGAGCAAAUCCUAAAAAGCCGGUCUCAGUUCGGAUUGCAGGCUGCAAUUCGCCUGCAUGAAGUCGGAAUCGCUAGUAAUCGCAGGUCAGCAUACUGCGGUGAAUACGUUCCCGGGCCUU
rnacentral:rRNA from 1 species